CCUACGGGUGGCUGCAGUGGGGAAUAUUGCACAAUGGGGGAAACCCUGAUGCAGCGACGCCGCGUGAGUGAAGAAGUAUCUCGGUACGUAAAGCUCUAUCAGCAGGGAAGAAAAUGUCGGUACCUGACUAAGAAGCCCCGGCUAACGACGUGCCAGCAGCCGCGGUAAUACGUAGGGGGGAAGCGUUAUCCGGAUUUACUGGGUGUAAAGGGAGCGUAGACGGGAGCACAAGUCUGGAGUGAAAUCCCGGGGCUUAACCCCGGAACUGCUUUGGAAACUGUGCGGCUGGAGUGCAGGAGGGGUAAGCGGAAUGCCUGGUGUAGCGGUGAAAUGCGUAGAUAUUAGGCGGAACACCGGUGGCGAAGGCGGCUUACUGGACUGUAACUGACGUUGAGGCUCGAAAGCGUGGGGAGCAAACAGGAUUAGAUACCCCGGUAGUC
rnacentral:rRNA from 1 species